rnacentral:rRNA from 1 species
CCCUUAGAUGUCCUGGGCCGCACGCGUGCUACACUGAUGCAUACAGCGAGUACUCCCAGCUCCGAGAGGCUGCUGGUAAUCAGCAAUAUGCAUCGUGAUGGGGAUAGAUCUUUGGAAUUAUAGAUCUUGAACGAGGAAUUCCUAGUAAUCGCAGGUCAUCACCCUGCGUUGACUAAGUCCCUGCCCUUUGUACACACCGCCCGUCGCUCCUACCGAUUUCGAGUGAUCCGGUGAACCAUUCGGACCGCGGCCCCUAGGCAUGCGGAAAGUCUAGUAAACCAUAUCACUUAGAGGAAGGAGAAGUCGUAACA